UACGGAGGAUGCAAGCGUUAUCCGGAAUUAUUGGGCGUAAAGCGUCCGCAGGUGGCACUUCAAGUCUGCUGUCAAAGACCGGGGCUUAACCCUGGAAAGGCAGUGGAAACUGAAGCGCUAGAGUGUGGCAGGGGUAGAGGGAAUUCCCGGUGUAGCGGUGAAAUGCGUAGAGAUCGGGAAGAACAUCGGUGGCGAAAGCGCUCUACUGGGCCAUAACUGACACUCAGGGACGAAAGCGUGGGGAGCAAACAGG
rnacentral:rRNA from 1 species